GGGUUGUGAGGUUAAGCGACUAAGCGUACACGGUGGAUGCCUAGGCAAUCAGAGGCGAUGAAGGACGUGCUAAUCUGCGAUAAGCGUCGGUAAGGUGAUAUGAACCGUUACAACCGACGAUUUCCGAAUGGGGAAACCCAGUGCAAUCCGUUGCACUAUCGUUUGAUGAAUACAUAGUCAAACGAAGCGAACCGGGGGAACUGAAACAUCUCAGUACCCCGAGGAAAAGAAAUCAACCGAGAUUCCCCUAGUAGCGGCGAGCGAACGGGGAGCAGCCCAGAGUCUUAAUCAGCAUUAGCAUCAGGAGAACGGUCUGGAAAGUCCGGCAGUAAAGGGUGAUAGCCCCGUAUCCGAAGGUGUUAGUGUUGUGAACUCGACGAGUAGGGCGGGACACGUGUUAUCCUGUCUGAAUAUGGGGGGACCAUCCUCCAAGGCUAAAUACUCCUGAUUGACCGAUAGUGAACCAGUACCGUGAGGGAAAGGCGAAAAGAACCCCGGCGAGGGGAGUGAAAUAGAACCUGAAACCGUGUACGUACAAGCAGUGGGAGCCCCAUCACUCAAGUGCCUCGGCAAUUGAGUGAGGGUGUAAAACCAUCACAAUAACAGCGCAGGAUUUGCCAACAAGGUUGGUCGAUUUUUUCAAGCCGCAGCGCAGUGGACAUCGAAGUCCAUGAGCAGCGGAAGUUAAAAAAUCGGGCAAGAUUGGCCGCAAAGCCAAGCGGGACAUUUGAGGAUGGGGUGACUGCGUACCUUUUGUAUAAUGGGUCAGCGACUUAUAUUCUGUAGCAAGGUUAACCGUAUAGGGGAGCCGUAGGGAAACCGAGUCUUAACUGGGCGAAUAAGUUGCAGGGUAUAGACCCGAAACCCGGUGAUCUAGCCAUGGGCAGGUUGAAGGUUGGGUAACACUAACUGGAGGACCGAACCGACUAAUGUUGAAAAAUUAGCGGAUGACUUGUGGCUGGGGGUGAAAGGCCAAUCAAACCGGGAGAUAGCUGGUUCUCCCCGAAAGCUAUUUAGGUAGCGCCUCGUGAACUCAUCUUCGGGGGUAGAGCACUGUUUCGACUAGGGGGUCAUCCCGACUUACCAACUCGAUGCAAACUACGAAUACCGAAGAAUGUUAUCACGGGAGACACACGGCGGGUGCUAACGUUCGUCGUGAAGAGGGAAACAACCCAGACCGCCAGCUAAGGUCCCAAAGUCAUAGUUAAGUGGGAAACGAAGUGGGAAGGCUCAGACAGCCAGGAUGUUGGCUUAGAAGCAGCCAUCAUUUAAAGAAAGCGUAAUAGCUCACUGGUCGAGUCGGCCUGCGCGGAAGAUGUAACGGGGCUAAACUAUGCACCGAAGCUGCGGCAGCGAUAUGUAAAUAUUGUUGGGUAGGGGAGCGUUUUGUAAGCCUGUGAAGGUGUGCUGUGAGGCAUGCUGGAGGUAUCAGAAGUGCGAAUGCUGACAUAAGUAACGAUAAUGCGGGUGAAAAACCCGCACGCCGGAAGACCAAGGGUUCCUGUCCAACGUUAAUCGGGGCAGGGUGAGUCGACCCCUAAGGCGAGGCAGAAAUGCGUAGUCGAUGGGAAACGGGUUAAUAUUCCCGUACUGGUGAUAAUUGCGAUGGGGGGACGGAGAAGGCUAGGCUAUCCGGGCGACGGUUGUCCCGGUUUAAGGAUGUAGGCAGGUGAAUUAGGCAAAUCCGGUUCACUAUAUGCUGAGGUCCGACGACGAGUCACUACGGUGAUGAAGUAGCUCAUGCCCCGCUUCCAGGAAAAGCCUCUAAGCUCUAGAUUAUCAUUAAUCGUACCCCAAACCGACACAGGUGGUCAGGUAGAGAAUACUCAGGCGCUUGAGAGAACUCGGGUGAAGGAACUAGGCAAAAUGGUGCCGUAACUUCGGGAGAAGGCACGCUGGCAUUAGGUGAAGUGAUUUACUCAUGGAGCUGAAGCCAGUCGCAGAUACCAGCUGGCUGCAACUGUUUAUUAAAAACACAGCACUGUGCAAACACGAAAGUGGACGUAUACGGUGUGACGCCUGCCCGGUGCUGGAAGGUUAAUUGAUGGGGUUAUCCGUAAGGAGAAGCUCUUGAUCGAAGCCCCAGUAAACGGCGGCCGUAACUAUAACGGUCCUAAGGUAGCGAAAUUCCUUGUCGGGUAAGUUCCGACCUGCACGAAUGGCGUAAUGAUGGCCAGGCUGUCUCCACCCGAGACUCAGUGAAAUUGAACUCGCUGUGAAGAUGCAGUGUACCCGCGGCAAGACGGAAAGACCCCGUGAACCUUUACUAUAGCUUGACACUGAACAUUGAGCCUUGAUGUGUAGGAUAGGUGGGAGGCUUUGAAGCGUGGACGCCAGUCUGCGUGGAGCCAACCUUGAAAUACCACCCUUUAAUGUUUGAUGUUCUAACGUUGCCCCAUUAUCUGGGGUGCGGACAGUGUCUGGUGGGUAGUUUGACUGGGGCGGUCUCCUCCCAAAGAGUAACGGAGGAGCACGAAGGUUGGCUAAGCAUGGUCGGACAUCAUGCGGUUAGUGCAAAGGCAUAAGCCAGCUUGACUGCGAGAGUGACGGCUCGAGCAGGUACGAAAGUAGGUCUUAGUGAUCCGGUGGUUCUGAAUGGAAGGGCCAUCGCUCAACGGAUAAAAGGUACUCCGGGGAUAACAGGCUGAUACCGCCCAAGAGUUCAUAUCGACGGCGGUGUUUGGCACCUCGAUGUCGGCUCAUCACAUCCUGGGGCUGAAGUAGGUCCCAAGGGUACGGCUGUUCGCCGUUUAAAGUGGUACGCGAGCUGGGUUUAGAACGUCGUGAGACAGUUCGGUCCCUAUCUGCCGUGGGCGUUGGAAGAUUGAAAGGGGCUGCUCCUAGUACGAGAGGACCGGAGUGGACGCACCACUGGUGUUCGGGUUGUCAUGCCAAUGGCAUUGCCCGGUAGCUAAGUGCGGAAGAGAUAACCGCUGAAAGCAUCUAAGCGGGAAACUUGCCUUGAGAUGAGUCUUCCCUGACCCUUUAAGGGUCCUAAAGGAACGUUUAAGACUAAGACGUUGAUAGGUUGGGUGUGUAAGCAUAGCGAUAUGUUGAGCUAACCAAUACUAAUGAACCGUGAGGCUUAACCUGACAACACCGAAGGUGUUUUAG
rnacentral:rRNA from 1 species